rnacentral:rRNA from 1 species
UACGUAGGGGGCAAGCGUUGUCCGGAAUCAUUGGGCGUAAAGAGCGCGCAGGCGGUCGUUCAAGUCGGGGGUGAAAGCCCCCGGCUCAACUGGGGAGGGUCACUCGAUACUGAUCGACUUGAAGGCAGGAGAGGGAAGCGGAAUUCCCGGUGUAGUGGUGAAAUGCGUAGAUAUCGGGAGGAACACCAGUGGCGAAGGCGGCUUCCUGGCCUGUUCUUGACGCUGAGGCGCGAAAGCUAGGGGAGCAAACGGG